AGUGAACGCUGGCGGUAGGCCUAACACAUGCAAGUCGAACGGCAGCACAGUAAGAGCUUGCUCUUACGGGUGGCGAGUGGCGGACGGGUGAGGAAUACAUCGGAAUCUACUUUUUCGUGGGUGAUAACGUAGGGAAACUUACGCUAAUACCGCAUACGACCUACGAGUGAAAGCAGGGGAUCUUCGGACCUUGCGCGAUUGAAUGAGCCGAUGUCGGAUUAGCUAGUUGGCGGGGUAAAGGCCCACCAAGGCGACGAUCCGUAGCUGGUCUGAGAGGAUGAUCAGCCACACUGGAACUGAGACACGGUCCAGACUCCUACGGGAGGCAGCAGUGGGGAAUAUUGGACAAUGGGCGCAAGCCUGAUCCAGCCAUACCGCGUGGGUGAAGAAGGCCUUCGGGUUGUAAAGCCCUUUUGUUGGGAAAGAAAAGCAGCAGGUUAAUACCCCGCUGUUCUGACGGUACCCAAAGAAUAAGCACCGGCUAACUUCGUG
rnacentral:rRNA from 1 species